rnacentral:rRNA from 1 species
GACGAACGCUGGCAGCGUGCUUAACACAUGCAAGUCGAACAGAAAGGCCCUGCUUUUGUGGGGUGCUCGAGUGGCGAACGGGUGAGUAACACGUGAGUAACCUGCCCUUGACUUUGGGAUAACUUCAGGAAACUGGGGCUAAUACCGGAUAGGAGCUCCUGCUGCAUGGUGGGGGUUGGAAAGUUUCGGCGGUUGGGGAUGGACUCGCGGCUUAUCAGCUUGUUGGUGGGGUAGUGGCUUACCAAGGCUUUGACGGGUAGCCGGCCUGAGAGGGUGACCGGCCACAUUGGGACUGAGAUACGGCCCAGACUCCUACGGGAGGCAGCAGUGGGGAAUAUUGCACAAUGGGCGGAAGCCUGAUGCAGCAACGCCGCGUGCGGGAUGACGGCCUUCGGGUUGUAAACCGCUUUCGCCUGUGACGAAGCGUGAGUGACGGUAAUGGGUAAAGAAGCACCGGCUAACUACGUG